rnacentral:rRNA from 1 species
ACUGCUCAGUAACACGUAGUCAACCUAACCUAUGGACGGGAAUAACCUCGGGAAACUGAGAAUAAUGCCCGAUAGAACACUAUGCCUGGAAUGGUUUGUGUUCCAAAUGAUUUAUCGCCGUAGGAUGGGACUGCGGCCUAUCAGUUUGUUGGUGAGGUAAUGGCCCACCAAGACUAUUACAGGUACGGGCUCUGAGAGGAGUAGCCCGGAGAUGGGUACUGAGACACGGACCCAGGCCCUAUGGGGCGCAGCAGGCGAGAAAACUUUGCAAUGUGCGAAAGCACGACAAGGUUAAUCCGAGUGGUUUGUGCUAAACAGACCUUUUGUUAGUCCUAGAAACACUAACGAAUAAGGGGUGGGCAAGUUCUGGUGUCAGCCGCCGCGGUAAAACCAGCACCUCAAGUGGUCAGGAUGAUUAUUGGGCCUAAAGCAUCCGUAGCCGGCUCUGUAAGUUUUCGGUUAAAUCUGUAUGCUCAACAUACAGGCUGCCGGUAAUACUGCAGAGCUAGGGAGUGGGAGAGGUAGACGGUACUCGGUAGGAAGGGGUAAAAUCCUUUGAUCUAUUGAUGACCACCUGUGGCGAAGGCGGUCUACCAGAACACGUCCGACGGUGAGGGAUGAAAGCUGGGGGAGCAAACCGGAUUAGAUACCCGGGUAGUCCCAGCUGUAAACUAUGCAAACUCAGUGAUGCAUUGGCUUGUGGCCAGUGCAGUGCUGCAGGGAAGCCGUUAAGUUUGCCGCCUGGGAAGUACGUACGCAAGUAUGAAACUUAAAGGAAUUGGCGGGGGAGCACCACAAGGGGUGAAGCCUGCGGUUCAAUUGGAUUCAACGCCGGG